AGCGCAACCCUGCCUCCAGUUGCCAGCAUUCGGUUGGGCACUCUAGAGGGACUGCCGGCGACAAGUCGGAGGAAGGUGGGGAUGACGUCAAAUCAUCAUGCCCCUUAUGACCUGGGCUACACACGUGCUACAAUGGGCGGUACAAAGGGCUGCGAACCCGCGAGGGGGAGCGAAUCCCAAAAAGCCGCUCUCAGUUCGGAUUGCAGGCUGCAACUCGCCUGCACGAAGCCGGAAUCGCUAGUAAUCGCGGAUCAGCAUGCCGCGGUGAAUACGUUCCCGGGCCUU
rnacentral:rRNA from 1 species